rnacentral:rRNA from 1 species
AGGGUUUGAUCCUGGCUCAGAACGAACGCUAGCGGCGUGGCUAACCCAUGCAAGUCGAGCGCGAAUUCCGGGGCAACUCGGAUAGUAGCGCGGCGGAAGGGUGAGUAAUGUAUGGAUAACGUACCCUGAGCACGAGGAUAGUCCACCGAAAGGUGGAGCAAUACUCGAUGAGACCACGCGGAGGCAUCUCCGAGAGGUCAAAGGGCGGGGACCCGCAAGGGCCUGCCGGCUUGGGAGCGGUCCAUAUUCCAUCAGCUAGUUGGUGAGGUAAUGGCUCACCAAGGCUCCGACGGAUAGCCGGACUGAGAGGUCGACCGGCCACAUUGGCACUGAGACACUGGCCAGACUCCUACGGGAGGCUGCAGGGACGAAUAUUCCGCAAUGGGCGAAAGCCUGACGGAGCGACGCCGCGUGUGGGAGGAAGUCCUUCGGGAUGUAAACCACUGUCAGGGGUCACCAAGUGACCAGCUCGAACAGGGCUGGAAGUUGAGGAGCCCCAGAGGAAGCCACGGCUAACUUCGUGCCAGCAGCCGCGGUAAGACGAAGGUGGCAAGCGUUGUUCGGAAUUACUGGGCUUAAAGCGCAUGUAGGCGGCCCGUUAAGUGCCUUGUGAAAUCCCUCGGCUUAACCGAGGAACGGCUGGGCAUACUGGCGGGCUUGAGGCAGGUAGGGGCGCGAGGAACUCUUGGUGGAGCGGUGAAAUGCGUAGAUAUCAAGAGGAACGCCGGUGGUGAAGACGUCGCGCUAGGCCUGUCCUGACGCUGAGAUGCGAAAGCCAGGGGAGCAAACGGGAUUAGAUACCCCGGUAGUCCUGGCCGUAAACGAUGUCCACUAGACCGGGGAUUCUUUGACGGAUUCCUAGUCGCAGCGAAAGCGUUAAGUGGACCGCCUGGGUAGUACGGUCGCAAGGCUAAAACUCAAAGGAAUUGACGGGGGCUCACACAAGCGGUGGAGCAUGUUGCUUAAUUCGAUUCAACGCGAAGAACCUUAUCCUGGGCUUGAAAAGCACGAAUGCGGCCGCUGAAAGGCGUGUCCGCUGCCCUUCGGGGUGAAACGUGUACAGGUGCUGCAUGGCUGUCGUCAGCUCGUGUCGUGAGAUGUCGGGUUAAGUCCCAUAACGAGCGAAACCCUUGUCGCUAGUUGCCAACGGGUCAUGCCGGGGACUCUAGCGAGACUGCCGGUGUCAAACCGGAGGAAGGUGGGGAUGACGUCAAGUCCUCAUGGCCUUUAUGCCCAGGGCUGCAAACGUGCUACAAUGGACGGUACAAACCGAUGCGAGACCGCGAGGUGGAGCAAACCGGAAAAAGCCGUCCCCAGUUCAGAUUGCAGUCUGCAACUCGACUGCAUGAAGUUGGAAUCGCUAGUAAUCGCGGAUCAGCUAUGCCGCGGUGAAUGAGUUCCUGAGCCUUGUACACACCGCCCGUCAAGUCAUGGGAGCUGGCAGCACCCGAAGUCGCCCCGUUUCAGGGGUGCCGAAGGUGAGGUCGGUGACUGGGACUAAGUCGGAACAAGGUA